rnacentral:rRNA from 1 species
UGGGGAAUAUUGCACAAUGGGCGCAAGCCUGAUGCAGCCAUGCCGCGUGUAUGAAGAAGGCCUUCGGGAUGUAAAGUACUUUCAGCGGGGAGGAAGGGAGUAAAGUUAAUACCUUUGCUCAUUGACGUUACCCGCAGAAGAAGCACCGGCUAACUCCGUGCCAGCAGCCGCGGUAAUACGGAGGGUGCAAGCGUUAAUCGGAAUUACUGGGCGUAAAGCGCACGCAGGCGGUUUGUUAAGUCAGAUGUGAAAUCCCCGGGCUCAACCUGGGAACUGCAUCUGAUACUGGCAAGCUUGAGUGUCGUAGAGGGGGGUAGAAUUCCAGGUGUAGCGGUGAAAUGCGUAGAGAUCUGGAGGAAUACCGGUGGCGAAGGCGGCCCCCUGGACGAAGACUGACGCUCAGGUGCGAAAGCGUGGGGAGCAAACAGG